GUUUACAAAUUUCUAUUCUAGCCUCCCUGUGGGUCACCAAACCACCACACUGGGGUUCCCUAACUGUGUAUCCAUCUCUGCGGGUCCGUCGAGAGAAACCAGCCCUAAUACACUUGCCAGACGGGCGAGGCUUAGCAUAGUUGCAGAGAACAGCCGGGGCGUGAACAACAACAACAACCUGAAUAUAUUUACUUUUCAAGAAAGUGAUUUCCACGAAUCCGAGGAGCUUGUUGACAAUGGAGCAGAUCACCCUCUUCUGCCCAGUAUCAAAGUUACCAGUUUUUAAAGCUACACAACGUAGCAGCACCUUAUUGGUGGUUUUAAUACAGACGGCUGAUUACCAAGUGCCAACAAAACUUCCACGUGCCACAAGUUUCAACUCAUAAAAACUGAGUUUCCAUCUGUGGUGGACCACUAUAAACUCUUCCAAAACAUACUUCAUUAGCAAUACUAAAGUAUAUUCUUACUACACACCCACUGGUCGCUGGACCUUGUUGUCCUAAAUAACAAUACAGUUGUUAAUAUCUUUUAUAUCGGGUACAUAAUAGCUGUGAUAGCAUCCCUCUGUGCCGGGAAAUCUGUCUCUCAAUCCGACUCAUAUCCAGUACCUAAAAUCACGAUGUCCUGUUUGGAACUAUAAUGACGUAAUAGUUAACAGCUCUGUCGAUCAUGCGCAGUGUUCUCCUCGAGCGUUCGUUUUUCCUGAAAGGAGAUACAAAUGAAAUAUUUUCCUACAAAUUAAAAUACUUUUCACGAUUUGUGUAAAACUAGGCUUUCUUUGUAAAAAAUAAAUAAAUGGAAUAAAUUUUCUUUAUGGCUUCUACA